rnacentral:rRNA from 1 species
UGGGGAAUAUUGGACAAUGGGGGCAACCCUGAUCCAGCGACGCCGCGUGGGUGAAGAAGGCCUGCGGGUUGUAAAGCCCUUUCGUUGGGGAAGAACAGUCUCGACCUAAUACGUCGGGACCUUGACGUUACCCAAGAA